GUUAGCGGCGGACGGGUGAGUAACACGUGGGUAACCUACCUAUAAGACUGGGAUAACUUCGGGAAACCGGAGCUAAUACCGGAUAACAUUUAGAACCGCAUGGUUCUAAAGUGAAAGAUGGUUUUGCUAUCACUUAUAGAUGGACCCGCGCCGUAUUAGCUAGUUGGUAAGGUAACGGCUUACCAAGGCGACGAUACGUAGCCGACCUGAGAGGGUGAUCGGCCACACUGGAACUGAGACACGGUCCAGACUCCUACGGGAGGCAGCAGUAGGGAAUCUUCCGCAAUGGGCGAAAGCCUGACGGAGCAACGCCGCGUGAGUGAUGAAGGGUUUCGGCUCGUAAAACUCUGUUAUUAGGGAAGAACAAAUGUGUAAGUAACUGUGCACAUCUUGACGGUACCUAAUCAGAAAGCCACGGCUAACUACGUGCCAGCAGCCGCGGUAAUACGUAGGUGGCAAGCGUUAUCCGGAAUUAUUGGGCGUAAAGCGCGCGUAGGCGGU
rnacentral:rRNA from 1 species